UACGAAUGGAGCGAGCGUUGUUCGGAAUCACUGGGCGUAAAGGGUGCGCAGGCGGUCUUGAAAGUCAGAAGUGAAAGCCCAGGGCUCAACCCUGGAAUUGCUUUUGAAACUCCAAGACUAGAGUAUUGGAGAGGUUGGCGGAAUUCCGAGUGUAGAGGUGAAAUUCGCAGAUAUUCGGAGGAACACCAAUGGCGUAGGCAGCCAACUGGACAAUUACUGACGCUCAUGCACGAAAGCGUGGGGAUCAAACAGG
rnacentral:rRNA from 1 species